GAUGAACGCUGGCGGCGUGCCUAAUACAUGCAAGUCGAGCGAACAGACGAGGAGCUUGCUCCUCUGACGUUAGCGGCGGACGGGUGAGUAACACGUGGAUAACCUACCUAUAAGACUGGGAUAACUUCGGGAAACCGGAGCUAAUACCGGAUAAUAUAUUGAACCGCAUGGUUCAAUAGUGAAAGACGGGUUUGCUGUCACUUAUAGAUGGAUCCGCGCCGCAUUAGCUAGUUGGUAAGGUAACGGCUUACCAAGGCAACGAUGCGUAGCCGACCUGAGAGGGUGAUCGGCCACACUGGAACUGGGACACGGUCCAGACUCCUACGGGAGGCAGCAGUAGGGAAUCUUCCGCAAUGGGCGAAAGCCUUACGGAGCAACGCCGCGUGAGUGAUGAAGGUCUUCGGAUCGUAAAACUCUGUUAUUAGGGAAGAACAAAUGUGUAAGUAACUAUGCACGUCUUGACGGUACCUAAUCAGAAAGCCACGGCUAACUACGUG
rnacentral:rRNA from 1 species